UGAGGAAUAUUGCGCAAUGGGGGAAACCCUGACGCAGCAACGCCGCGUGGGUGAAGAAGGCCUUCGGGUCGUAAAGCCCUUUCGGACGGGACGAAAGUUCCGCGGGGAUAAUCCGCGGAGCCUGACGGUACCGUAGGAAGAAGCACCGGCUAACUCCGUGCCAGCAGCCGCGGUAAUACGGAGGGUGCAAGCGUUGUUCGGAAUUACUGGGCGUAAAGCGCGUGUAGGCGGCCUUGUAAGUCAGAUGUGAAAGCCCUCGGCUCAACCGGGGAAGUGCAUCUGAAACGGCAAGGCUUGAGUACGGGAGAGGGAGGCGGAAUUCCCAGUGUAGAGGUGAAAUUCGUAGAUAUUGGGAGGAACACCGGUGGCGAAAGCGGCCUCCUGGACCGAUACUGACGCUGAGACGCGAAAGCGUGGGGAGCAAACAGGAUUAGAUACCCUGGUAGUCCACGCCGUAAACGAUGUGCGCUAGACGUUGGGGGUUAUGCCUUCAGUGUCGCAGUUAACGCAUUAAGCGCACCGCCUGGGGAGUACGGCCGCAAGGUUA
rnacentral:rRNA from 1 species